GGAGUGCGGUCGCAAGAUUAAAACUCAAAGGAAUUGACGGGGGUCCGCACAAGCGGUGGAACAUGUGGUUUAAUUCGACACUACGCGAGAAACCUUACCUAGACUUGACAUGUGGGCGACCGCUGUAGAAAUACAGCUUUCCUAGUUUACUAGGACGCUUACACAGGUGCUGCAUGGCUGUCGUCAGCUCGUGUCGUGAGAUGUUGGGUUAAGUCCUUUAACGAGCGCAACCCCUACCGUUAGUUACCAGCGAGUCAUGUCGGGGACUUUAGGGGGACUGCCGGCGUCAAGCCGGAGGAAGGUGGGGACGACGUCAAGUCAUCAUGGCCUUUAUGUCCAGGGCUACACACGUGCUACAAUGGGCGGUACAAAGGGUUGCGAAACCGUGAGGUGGAGCCAAUCCCAAAAAGCCGUCCUCAGUUCGGAUUGCAGUCUGCAACUCGACUGCAUGAAGUUGGAAUCGCUAGUAAUCGCGUAUCAGAACGACGCGGUGAAUACGUUCCCGGGCCUUGCACACACUGCCCGU
rnacentral:rRNA from 1 species